GACGAACGCUGGCGGCGUGCCUAAUACAUGCAAGUCGAACGAGAGCAACCGGUGCUUGCACUGGUCAAUCGAGUGGCGAACGGGUGGGUAACACGUGGGUAACCUGCCCAUCAGAGGGGGAUAACAUCCGGAAACGGAUGCUAAAACCGCAUAGGUCUUCGAACCGCAUGGUUUGAAGAGGAAAAGAGGCGCAAGCUUCUGCUGAUGGAUGGACCCGCGGUGCAUUAGCUAGUUGGUGAGGUAACGGCUCACCAAGGCCGUGAUGCAUAGCCGACCUGAGAGGGUGAUCGGCCACAUUGGGACUGAGACACGGCCCAAACUCCUACGGGAGGCAGCAGUAGGGAAUCUUCCGCAAUGGACGCAAGUCUGACGGAGCAACGCCGCGUGAGUGAAGAAGGUUUUCGGAUCGUAAAACUCUGUUGUUAGAGAAGAACAAGUGCUAGAGUAACUGUUAGCGCCUUGACGGUAUCUAACCAGAAAGCCACGGCUAACUACGUG
rnacentral:rRNA from 1 species